rnacentral:rRNA from 1 species
UACGAAGGGGGCUAGCGUUGCUCGGAAUCACUGGGCGUAAGGGUGCGUAGGCGGGUCUUUAAGUCAGGGGUGAAAUCCUGGAGCUCAACUCCAGAACUGCCUUUGAUACUGAGGAUCUUGAGUUCGGGAGAGGUGAGUGGAACUGCGAGUGUAGAGGUGAAAUUCGUAGAUAUUCGCAAGAACACCAGUGGCGAAGGCGGCUCACUGGCCCGAUACUGACGCUGAGGCACGAAAGCGUGGGGAGCAAACAGG